UGAAUCACACACGAGUGUUGUGGCUUUUAAGACAUUACAGCCAAGAGAUUAUUGCUAAUCAUCGAAUCACGUUUGCUGUUUUCAAUCCAGAAAGUCUAGUUACUAUGUUGUUAUUAGAAGAUGAAUAGCUAAUGCAAGGUCCAGGAGACAAGCACUGUACAGUGCCAGGGCAGUACAAAAAUUCAUAUAACAUCAAAAA